rnacentral:lncRNA from 1 species
CAGGCACCCAGCCCCGACACCCCUCCCCAGGAUCACCAAUACCGCAGCUCCAACUCUGCCUCUGGCGCCCUUGGGUUCCAUGCGGGGGUUCCUCCAGCACACGCCAUGGAGGCUGUGGCUCGGGAAAGCCCCAUACCCGCUCUCGGCAACUGCACCCUGGAAAGCAGCCAGCGGCCCGUGAGCCACACUUCACCUGACCGGUCCACGGAAUGGGCUGAAAGGAUUCAAGGCAGGUGGCUUUUUGUCCCAAAUAUGUAACGGGCACGAAGCACGGAGCUGGGAAUCCGGGAGACUUGGAUGUCCACCCUGUUCUUGCUCCCAGUGCUGGGGAACCAUGAGUCAGCCUCCACUUCCUCAUUUGUCAGAAGUGGUUGAUGAGACGUCUUGGAAAUUCACGCCAAAAUGUUUUCGCAGCAGGAUGCAGAAAGCAAUCCCAGCUGUGGCCCAGGGAAGAGCCGGCCUUGAGGGCUCCGUCAGCAGCAGCCUGUGGUCACUUCUGGAUUGGUUCCCGGCUGGAGCCCAUUAUCCUGACCUACUUUGGCCCCACACCCCACAGAGGAAAGUCACCGUUAAUACCCUCUCCAGGUCCCUGCAGGAACCUCUGCCUUCUCCAGAUGCCACUUAGGAGUCAGUCCUUCUUCCAAAGAAAGAGAGCACAGAACGCAAACUUGCAUCAGGUUGAAGAGGCUGGGGACAGGGACAACCCAGGCUGCUCAUCCACAGGUCACCGUCACUUGGCUCCUAAAGAGCACAUGAUCAUGGAGGAAGGACUGAUAGAAAACAUGCUCUGUUGGGCCCCAGGCCCACCCCGCACUGGCUGCACCUCUGGUCUCUGCCAUCACUCACCUGCAGACAACCGCCUCCCGCUCUCACCUUCAUCCCUGGGGUUCCUGCAGCUCCCUGGUCUCCCAGCUCUGCUCUUUUGGGCCUCCACGCAGGACUCAGAGAGAUUCUUUCACAAAGUGAGUCAGGUAUUGCAGUUUGCUCAUUUCUGUUGA